rnacentral:rRNA from 1 species
GACGAACGCUGGCGGCGUGCCUAAUACAUGCAAGUUGAGCGCUGAAGGUUGGUACUUGUACCGACUGGAUGAGCAGCGAACGGGUGAGUAACGCGUGGGGCAUCUGCUUUUGAGCGGGGGACAACAUCUGGAAACGAAUGCUACUACCGCAUAAAACCUCUAAACACAAGUUUUAAGUUUGAAAGAUGCAAUUGCAUCACUCAAAGAUGAUCCCGCGUUGUAUUAGCUAGGUGGUCAGGUAAAGGCCCACCAAGGCGAUGAUACAUAGCCGACCUGGAGGGGAGGUCGGCCAAAAUUGGACUGGGACACGGCCCAAACUCCUUCGGGGGGCAGCAAUAGGGGAACAUUGGCAAAUGACGGAAGGCUGACCGAGGAACGACGCGGGAGGGGAGGAGGGUUUCGGAUUGGAAAAGUCUGUUUGUAGGGAAGAACGUUGGUGAGAGUGGAAAGCUCAUCAAGUGACGGUAACUACACAGAAAGGAACGGCUAACUACGUG